GACGAACGCUGGCGGCGUGCCUAAUACAUGCAAGUCGAGCGGACGAUUCGAAAGCUUGCUUUUGAAUCGUUAGCGGCGGACGGGUGAGUAACACGUGGGCAACCUGCCCUGUAGACGGGGAUAACACCGAGAAAUCGGUGCUAAUACCGGAUAACACGAAAUGUCGCAUGACGUUUCGUUGAAAGGCGGCGCAAGCUGCCGCUACAGGAUGGGCCCGCGGCGCAUUAGCUAGUUGGUGAGGUAACGGCUCACCAAGGCGACGAUGCGUAGCCGACCUGAGAGGGUGAUCGGCCACACUGGGACUGAGACACGGCCCAGACUCCUACGGGAGGCAGCAGUAGGGAAUCUUCCGCAAUGGACGAAAGUCUGACGGAGCAACGCCGCGUGAGCGAAGAAGGCCUUCGGGUCGUAAAGCUCUGUUGUUAGGGAAGAUCAAGUAACGUAGUAACUGACGUUACUAUGACGGUACCUAACGAGAAAGCCACGGCUAACUACGUG
rnacentral:rRNA from 1 species